UUCCUAGAUGUGAUGGCGGCCGGGAAGU
rnacentral:piRNA from 1 species